rnacentral:rRNA from 1 species
CGUAAAAGCGCAUGCAGGUGGUUUGUUAAGUCAGAUGUGAAAAGCCCGGGGCUCAAACCUCGGAAACUGCAUUUGAAAAACUGGCAGACUAGAGUACUGUAGAGGGGGUAGAAUUUCAGGUGUAGCGGUGAAAAUGCGUAGAGAUCUGAAGGAAUACCGGUGGCGAAGGCGGCCCCUGGACAGAUACUGACACUCAGAUGCGAAAGCGUGGGGAGCAAACAGGAUUAGAUACCCUGUAG